rnacentral:lncRNA from 1 species
AAACUCUUAAAAUAUAUAAUAAAAGUUCAUCUUGAUGUUUUUUUUCUCUCUCUCUCUCAAAUGUUUUGAGCUGUCCAUGCCCAGUCCGUGUUCUUUGCUCUUUGUCCACUUCCGUGAGUUGCACUGUGUGUUUGUUUUUUAAUAUUGCCAAAGCUGUGUAGAGUUAAUAGUCAGAGAGUUUUCCGUGUUCUUUAAAAUGAAGCGAAAAAUAUUAAAUCUGACAGAAAAGAUCAGCCUGCAGGAAGAGUGCAACAAUCCGGUCAGAAACCUAAGGAUUUAAACGUGCAUGCAAGAUCUCAGUGGCAAUGGACUUGGAAAAACAUGUUACUACUCUCUCUCUGCAUCCUCUCUGCAUCAAUACCAUUUCUUCUGCAUCUCUUCUCUGACUCUAUUGACCUCAGCCGACCUUCAGAUAUAGGGCUCAAUCACACUAUAAACAUGUACCUCACACCUGAGCAGGGGGUGAGGGUGGGCGUGUGGUUAGUUUUAAGACACCUACAGUACACGUCACACAUAUACACACCAAAAUAUAAAACAAGAUAAUUACAAAUAAUUAAGAUUUCAAUGUAUUCUUUUAUUAAUGUUUUUCAAGGCACACAGGGGAUAGGGUAGAUGCCCAUUUUCAUCUACCUCCAUGGCAAUGGGGGUAACAGGCAGGAAACCUUUUAAUCACCUUAAAACUUUAAAGAACAAUUUUUAUCUUAUUCUUUGUUCACUAAAGAUAUAGACCUUCGUCAGGAUAGCACCAUAUUUAAUAUUUGGCAGGAAUGAAUAUGAGGCUGUAUGGAAGAAAAGUAGACAAUAACUUCAUAAAAGAGUUUUAAAAGU